GCUCAAGCUUCUAAUUGAUAUGCUACAUGAGUGAUCCAAUCAUGUCAUCUAAUCUUCUGCUGCUCAAAGCAAAUUUAAUGAAUUUUAACGCCACACUUUUGGAGCAGUGUGAAAUUAUUUUUGUUCAAUUCUAUGAGUGUUUGAUCAUGACUUGAGAACUGCAUUGUGAAUAGCUGUGUUUGGUGUCAUUUGAUCAUAUUAUCCCAAGAAUAGGUAUUGACGUAGAACUCAGAACAAUGGGAUCUCUGUGGCAUUUAUUUCCUUGCAUAUUAAGAAUGCAGUUUCUUAUUGGAUAUCUUUAUCAUGUAAUUGAGGGAAAAGGAUGGACAAAAGAUUUUAAAACAUGCCAUCAUAAAUCUAGAAUAAAAACACACAUUUCUCUAAGUUAGUUCUUUCAACUUCUUCUGCUUAAGAGAAAACCAGCACCACUGCCAUGUGGAAUAUUUAGAUACUUGGUCUUAUCUUUAAUAUGUUAUGUUCGGUCUUGUAUGAAUGAAUUAUAUGGAGCGUGCCAUGUAUGGAUUGCACAAAAAAAAUAAGAGAUUAUUGUUAAACUGCUAUACUGACUAAGGAAAUAUUUCAUCAGGUCUGUCGACUUUGUCAGCAG
rnacentral:misc_RNA from 1 species